rnacentral:lncRNA from 1 species
UCCCUGUUCCUGCUGACCACACUAUUUCUGAUACAAGCCAGGAUGCCAUUGGCCUUCUUGGCCACCUGGGCACACUGCUGGCUCAUGUUCAGUCUAGCGUCAAUCAACACCCCCAGCUCCAUUUCCUCUGCACAGUCUUCCAGCCACUCUGCCCCAAGCCUGUAGUGUUGCCUGGGGUUAUUGUGGCCAAAGUGCAGGACCCGGCAUUUGGUCUUGUUGAAUCCCAUCCCAUUGGCUUCAGCCCAGCUAUCCAGCCUAUCCAGAUCCCUCUGUAGGGCCUCGCUACCCUCAGGCAGAUCAACACUUGCAGCCAGCUUGGUGUCAUCUGCAAACUUACUGAGGGUGCACUCAAUGCCCUCAUCCAGGUCAUCAAUAAAGAUAUUAAACAGGACAGGCCCCAGCAGCAGCUGCUUUCCUCUGCCAGGUUUUGGAUUGCUCCACCUUCAAACCCUUCUGUCUAAUCAUUUCCCGGCUAAUGGAAUAAUAGGACCUGCUGGAGGCAAGUUCAUAAACUGCGGGCUGUGUAAUGGAUCAUCUCCAGGCUCUGCCACUGACUCCUCAAGAGAGACUCGUUGACAUACCUUUGCAUGAAGCAAUUCACUGCUUCUUGGAUCUCCCAUGAUUGUAUGAUUGAAGGAUGACCACGGAUACUGCAGAUCUCCAGAACAGACCACCUCACCCUGACAAACAAAU